rnacentral:other from 1 species
CUCUACCCUGGCUGUAUGUGUGGCGGGUACGUGUUUUGAGCCAACACGGUUUCGAUGGGAGCUUCGCUCUUAUGAGCUGAGCUAUGCGGCGGGCCGCAGACGCUCACAGGCGGGCACCCCCCUGCACGCGCAGGUUCGAAACUGGCCCGCCCACGGCAGCUAGGGCACCAU